rnacentral:rRNA from 1 species
UACGGAGGUGGCAAGCGUUGUUCGGAAUUACUGGGCGUAAAGGGCGCGUAGGCGGCAAGGCAAGUCAGGUGUGAAAGCCCCGGGCUCAACUCGGGAACUGCAUCUGAAACUGCUGUGCUUGAGUCCUGGAGGGGGUAGUGGAAUUCCCAGUGUAGCGGUGAAAUGCGCAGAUAUCGGGAGGAACACCGGUGGCGAAGGCGGUUCUCUGGGCCUUACCUGACGCUGAGGAGCGAAAGCGUGGGGAGCGAACAGG